UAGGGAAUCUUCGGCGAUGGACGAAAGUCUGACCGAGCAACGCCGCGUGAGUGAAGAAGGUUUUCGGAUCGUAAAACUCUGUUGGUAGAGAAGAACGUUGGUGAGAGUGGAAAGCUCAUCAAGUGACGGUAACUACCCAGAAAGGGACGGCUAACUACGUGCCAG
rnacentral:rRNA from 1 species